AAUCCUAGUGUAGCUAUACUGCGGGCAAGUUUUGUCUCUCAAAUGAGCAGUCCAGGUGAAAGGAAAGACAUGCUAUUUUCCUACUUGUAUAAUUUAACCUCAUGAGUUCAAGUUGCGAUGGAGUAACCCUUGUUCACGCUGCACAGGAAGAUACUGUUCUGUAGUCGAUGUGGAGAUGGGCGUAUGUUAUCCUCUCCUCUGUCCUGCCCAUCAACUUUUCCACCAGCAGAGAGAAAAUAUGAGAAAGAGGUCAAGGAAUGUUACAGAAGGAAGUCGUAAAGGUCAGUUUGGUGCCGCUUUUGCUGCCUCCCUUCCUGGAUACAACAGUGUCCAAGGCAUGGCAACCACCAUGUUCAUGUUCUCUUCCUGCCGCUUCAAUUAUUGAUGCCAUAUCUUCUUUUUCCCUUCAUAUGUUAUAUUACCCUGAGAGAGCUUGCUGAACUAAGACACACCACCAUGAACAAGCAGCUCUGUGCGAUGGUUUCCUGUGUCCUCGUGUUGGCUCUUCAUCUCCCUCGCGAGGCACCGGUAGAUAUGUCUGCCUCUCAAGAGCAGAGUCCAGGCAGGAAGCUACUGAAGGAGUCAGGUCUCUCAGCAGCAAACACCGAGGUGAUUCAGAGGAUGAAGGAACCAAAGCACGGAGAUGAGGAAGAGGAAGGCCACAUCUACAACGCGGACUACAGUCUAGUGGCUACUCAUCCUCCUCCACUCCCCAAGCGUCAUCCUAAGCCAUAGUCUUAGGUCGAUCGACAUACCAAAAUGGUCUUACUUUUUAUGCUUGUAGAAUGCAACUCCGCUGAAGUAUGUUUUGCUAUGUUCUUGUUUCAUGAAAGUUCUUGUGCUUCACCACAAGAUAUCGACAUAUUUGACCUACUGAGGGAUCUACAUGCCGGAUCCCAAUUGCCUCAA